UUGGUAUGUAUCGGGUGGUUGGAUCCCUGCCUCGGCAGCGACACCAUUGGUGCAUACGUGUUCAAUUCUGUCCGAGAGCUAAAUAGUUUGCCUUUGGUUGGCAAUGUCCCCCUGUGUAUCAUACCUACAUAGUCGGAAUUUCAUAGUCCCACAGUCCCCUAUUUGUCUCGUGCUACAAAAAAUGUGCGAGACAAACAACGAAACUAACCUGGACGUCCGCCCUUGCGUUUCCAUUCGGUCUUGUAAGCGUCGGACGCCCAAGUGUCGCCGGAAAUCUCGUAUGCGGAAACAUGAUCGGUUGGGGUCUUGGUCCCUACUUGUCCGAAUUAAAUGUCCCUUAUGGAAGCGUGUUGUGCCCUAUUUCGACUUUAGGAUGAUAUUCAUCUCGAUGCUCGCUCGGUGCCUUCGGCAAAAAGGAAUGCUACCUGGUUGAUCCUGCCGUAGUCAUAUGCUUGUCUCAAAGACAAGCCAUGCAGGUGUAAGUAUGAACUAAUUCAGA
rnacentral:misc_RNA from 1 species